UACGUAGGGUGCAAGCGUUGUCCGGAAUUAUUGGGCGUAAAGAGCUCGUAGGCGGUUUGUUGCGUCGGCUGUGAAAUCCCGAGGCUCAACCUCGGGUCUGCAGUCGAUACGAGCAAACUAGAGUGUUGCAGGGGAGACUGGAAUUCCUGGUGUAGCGGUGAAAUGCGCAGAUAUCAGGAGAAACACCGGUGGCGAAGGCGGGUCUCUGGGCAACAACUGACGCUGAGGAGCGAAAGCUAGGGUAGCAAACGGG
rnacentral:rRNA from 1 species